rnacentral:rRNA from 2 species
CUUAACAUGCAGUCGACGGCAGCACGGGGGCAACCCUGGUGGCGAGUGGCGAACGGGUGAGUAAUACAUCGGAACGUGUCCUGUAGUGGGGGAUAGCCCGGCGAAAGCCGGAUUAAUACCGCAUACGCUCUACGGAGGAAAGGGGGGGAUCUUAGGACCUCCCGCUACAGGGGCGGCCGAUGGCAGAUUAGCUAGUUGGUGGGGUAAAGGCCUACCAAGGCGACGAUCUGUAGCUGGUCUGAGAGGACGACCAGCCACACUGGGACUGAGACACGGCCCAGACUCCUACGGGAGGCAGCAGUGGGGAAUUUUGGACAAUGGGGGCAACCCUGAUCCAGCAAUGCCGCGUGUGUGAAGAAGGCCUUCGGGUUGUAAAGCACUUUUGUCCGGAAAGAAAACCUCGUGGUUAAUACCCGUGGGGGAUGACGGUACCGGAAGAAUAAGCACCGG